rnacentral:tRNA from 1 species
GGUUCUAUGGUGUAAUGGUUAGCUCUCUGGACUCUGAAUCCAGUGAUUUGAGUUGAAAUCUCAGUAGGACCU